rnacentral:rRNA from 1 species
AAGGAUAACAAGAUUUCACCCCUACCCCUGAAGUACCUCUCACCUCUCCCGGCCUCGAGCCGAACAGUAUCUCCUGAAAGCCCAUCAUUGAGCUGCUGGAUUUCUCAAGAGACUUAUCCGGCCGGCUACGGACCCUUUAGACCCAAUAAUAACGGUUACCACUCGAGCCGCCGGUGUUACCGCGGCGGCUGGCACCGGUCUUGCCCGGCCCUUGCUAUGCAAUGCUUUUUAGGCAUCACGACAGCCAGAUUUGUAACCUGGCACUCGAGGUCCCCUUAUCGCCGUUGCCGGCAUUGUAAAGUUUUCGCGCCUGCUGCACCCCGUAGGGCCUGGAUUCGUGUCUCAGAAUCCAUCCCCGGGCUCUUGCUCUCACAACCCGUACCCGUCGUAGGCUAGUAGGUACGCUACACCCACUACUACCUGAUAGGCCGCAGACCCAUCCUCUGGCGCCGGAGCUUUCGAUCUCGGGGCAUUCCAGCGACCGAGAUCUAUCGGGGAUUAUACCCAGUUUCCCGGGUUUAUACCCGUCCGGAGGGUAGGUUGUCCACGUGUUACUGAGCAGUACGCCAUGUAUUGCUACAUUCGACUCGCAUGGCUUAGUCGAACCUCGAUAGCAG